rnacentral:rRNA from 1 species
AGUGAACGCUGGCGGUAGGCCUAACACAUGCAAGUCGAACGGCAGCACAGUAAGAGCUUGCCCUUACGGGUGGCGAGUGGCGGACGGGUGAGGAAUACAUCGGAAUCUACUUUUUCGUGGGGGAUAACGUAGGGAAACUUACGCUAAUACCGCAUACGACCUACGGGUGAAAGCAGGGGAUCUUCGGACCUUGCGCGAUUGAAUGAGCCGAUGUCGGAUUAGCUAGUUGGCGGGGUAAAGGCCCACCAAGGCGACGAUCCGUAGCUGGUCUGAGAGGAUGAUCAGCCAAAAUGGAAAUGAGACACGGUCCAGAAUCCUAAGGGAGGGAGCAGUGGGGAAUAUUGGACAAUGGGCGCAAGCCUGAUCCAGCCAUACCGCGUGGGUGAAGAAGGCCUUCGGGUUGUAAAGCCCUUUUGUUGGGAAAGAAAAGCAGCAGGUUAAUACCCCGCUGUUCUGACGGUACCCAAAGAAUAAGCACCGGCUAACUUCGUG